ACGUCAGUCCGGCUCGAUUCGUCGUUGUUUUUGUUUUUCGGCGCCUAAUCCCCCUUCCGACGUACCUAUCCUUUCAUAAAUUACUUAUCGUAAAAAAUGCCUAAACAAGAAUCCGGCGACGGCUCGGAGGCCAGCGGUAAAUCGACGACUCCGAAGGUCAAAAAAGAAGACGGUAAGAAAAACUCUACCGCAGCGGUGCAACCGCAACGUAAGAUAUUGCCGAGGAGUAACCUAACGCGCUGUAAACGUUCCACCAUGGACCUGGAGACAGUCUACAUGGCAUCGUACUGCUGUCCGAGACGACCGAAAAGCGGACCCUCACACCAACACUAAAUUGUUCAAGUACAAGCGUCAGCCUGCAUGAAGAUCGGCAUGUUCUCGGCGUUGGCCGAAGAGCCGAGCACGCAGACGACCUCACCGUAGUCCUGCAUUAUGUGCAGCAUCUCCCGGGUCACCGCUGUGUUACAGUCGGUGAACAGCGAGACCAGCAGUGAUCAAAGUUGACCGGCGCACUCUGUUCGGUGCUGUCGGUGAGGCAACUAAGCGAACGCCAGGCCUCCUGGCCCGAGCCCAGGUCGAUGCUCUGCACCAGCACGCUGUCCUCGCUCCUCACCGUCUCCUGCUCCCUGUGAUGUAACCAUAAAAAUUUACGUUAAUAUUCGUUCUUAAUAAACAGUCUCUCGCGUAUACAAGCAUA